rnacentral:rRNA from 1 species
CGCGUAGGCGGCUUUGUAAGUCGGAUGUGAAAGCCCCGGGCUUAACCUGGGAAUUGCAUUCGAUACUGCAGAGCUAGAGUAUGGUAGAGGGAAGUGGAAUUCCGGGUGUAGCGGCGAAAUGCGUAGAUAUCCGGAGGAACACCAGUGGCGAAGGCGACUUCCUGGGCCAAUACUGACGCUGAGGUGCGAAAGCGUGGGGAGCAAACA